UACGUAGGGGGCAAGCGUUGUCCGGAUUUAUUGGGCGUAAAGAGCGUGUAGGCGGCCAAACAGGUCAGCUGUGAAAACUCGAGGCUCAACCUCGAGACGUCGGUUGAAACCGUUUGGCUAGAGUCCGGAAGAGGAGAGUGGAAUUCCCGGUGUAGCGGUGAAAUGCGCAGAUAUCGGGAAGAAUCACCCGUGGCGAAGGCGGGUCUCUGGGCAGUAACUGACGCUGAGGAGCGAAAGCGUGGGGAGCGAACAGGAUUAGAU
rnacentral:rRNA from 1 species